UACAGAGGGUGCGAGCGUUGUCCGGAAUCACUGGGCGUAAAGGGCGCGUAGGCGGCUUGGUAAGUCGGGGGUGAAAUCUUGCGGCUCAACUGCAAGGCUGCCUCCUAAACUGCCUGGCUGGAGCACGGUAGAGGCAGAUGGAAUUCCCGGUGUAGCGGUGGAAUGCGCAGAUAUCAGGAGGAACACCGGUGGCGAAGGCGGGUCUCUGGGCAGUAACUGACGCUGAGGAGCGAAAGCGUGGGGAGCGAACAGG
rnacentral:rRNA from 1 species